rnacentral:rRNA from 1 species
AAGGGCGCACGGUGGAUGCCUUGGCACUAGAAGCCGAUGAAGGACGUUACUAACGACGAUAUGCUUUGGGGAGCUGUAAGUAAGCUGUGAUCCAGAGAUUUCCGAAUGGGGAAACCCAAUACGAGUUAUGUCGUAUUAUCGAUACGUAAAUACAUAGCGUAUCGAAGGUAGACGCGGAGAACUGAAACAUCUUAGUACCCGCAGGAAGAGAAAGAAAAAUCGA